UACGGGGGGGGGCAAGCGUUGUUCGGAAUUACUGGGCGUAAAGGGCUCGUAGGCGGCCAACUAAGUCAGACGUGAAAUCCCUCGGCUUAACCGGGGAACUGCAUCUGAUACUGGAUGGCUUGAGUUCGGGAGAGGGAGUGCGGAAUUCCAGGUGUAGCGGUGAAAUGCGUAGAUAUCUGGAGGAACACCGGUGGCGAAGGCGGCAUCCUGGACCGACACUGACGCUGAGGUGCGAAAGCGUGGGGAGCAAACAGGG
rnacentral:rRNA from 1 species